rnacentral:lncRNA from 1 species
AUGAUAAACAUAAAAAAAAGAAAUAAUAAAAAAAAUGGCUAAAGAUGGACUAAAUUGAACUUUAAAAAAAUGGGGUAGAUUCAAAAAUAAGUAAAAAAAAGGACAAACUUGAUCGAACACGUGAAUAAUAAGGAGGGAUCAAAAGGGAAAUUAAUCCCUGCCCUCCAAAACGACGCCGUUCAAUUAUAGACCCGAUUGAAAACGAAAUAAAUCCUAGGGGAAUUAAAAAACAAAAAAAAACUUGAUUUUAAAGCAAUAAAAGAAUGAAGGACCCAAUGCGCAAUUAGGCCAUUAAGACAAAAUGCAAGGAUCACUGGGCCAUUAAACGGUGUCACUUUUCCCUCUAUAAAAACCAACCCAAAACCCUAAUUAGAAAGUCUUUAGUUUUCCUUCAAAACAACAG